rnacentral:rRNA from 1 species
CACGCAGGCGGUCUGUUAAGUCAGAUGUGAAAUCCCCGGGCUCAACCUGGGAACUGCAUUUGAAACUGGCAGGCUUGAGUCUUGUAGAGGGGGUAGAAUUCCAGGUGUAGCGGUGAAAUGCGUAGAGAUCUGGAGGAAUACCGGUGGCGAAGGCGGCCCCCUGGACAAAGACUGACGCUCAGGUGCGAAAGCGUGGGGAAGCAAACA